AUGUAAUGUAAUUAUGUAGCAGAAUUAAUUUUAUUUAUUUAUUUUAUUUUCCUUUAUGAACCUUCUCAAAACUAAUUUUCUUUGAAUUGACAUGUCUGUAAUAUAUUAUUUCUGUUUUAUCUUGCUUUCAUUUUUGGCCCCUAGUGUGUAAAAGGCCAUCCUCAUCUAUGAAUAUUGGUUUUCCUUUGUUUUUUAAUUGUAUUUUGUUUUGGUGGGGAAGCUUUUAUUUUCUUACUUCCUGUUUGUGCGCUACAUCCUGUGUGUUCCCGCUGCCCUCCUCAGUUCGCGCCAAGCUGCGCUGGGGAGAGGGUGUUUGGAGAAUCCGAAGCCCAGGAGCUGCUGUGCUUAAAAUGUUCUUGUUUUGAACAGGAAUAAAAUUAUCCUGAAUCCUG